AUGAAGGGCCUCAUAGUUCGGCUGUGGCCUAAGGAGGCUAUGCCCGGGAGCUAUUUCGGCCUGGUGCGGCGGCUGGUGGACGCGUGCCCGUGGGUUGAAGUUAUCGAGCACUCCGCCUGUAUCAAGGGUGCGUGUGGGGCCCUUGCCCAUGCAAAGGUGCACUGGGGAAAGAUGGAUGCCCAGAAGCUUGUGACGGACCCCCCACCAGAGGGCAAGGAGCAUCGCACGCCGGAGCUGUAUUAUAGGAGUGUGCUGAAGGGCGCUCGCACUAUUGCGGGUGAGUGCUCCAAAGAUGUAAUAUUUGAGUAG
rnacentral:rRNA from 1 species